AUAGGAAUCCCCCACUACCUCAUUUUCCUGCAUUUUGGUGAAGCCACGUCACCCUUUUAUUUUACCACGUACGUCCUGCCUCCGUUCGUCUCGCUUCGUCGCUACAUUCUUCCUACGCGGGCUGGACCGACCUGGGCCGUAGAGUGGUAGCGACCUUGGUUCCCAAAUAGCCCGCCUUCAUCCUUCUGGCCCUCGCAACUUUCCUUCCACGACUCGCUCAACGUCUGACCUUUCCAUCCCCUACAACUGUUGUUCGUCUUCCUCAGCUGCGCCAGACCUUCCGUCAUCCGCCCACCAAUUUUCUAGCCAUAAUUGUUCCACCCCCGACCUCUAGCCUCCUCCUCACAAAUCCUGAUGAUUACAUCUCAUAAAUCCCAGCAAUUAGCAAUAGAAACUGCUCCAUCCAACAAAUCAGUCGCCACCGCCCUCAACUUAAAAGGAAAACCAUGGUGCCAUACGCUUCAGUCAGAGACCCUGCUCGCCCCGCCAUCACUGCCACCCGCCUCCGCGCAGAUUAAGCUACGGCUGGCAAAUCCGCUCCACGUUUUGCCUCUACAGCGUACUAUUUUGGUUCGAUUCUGUCUACUGGCACCUCAUCGCCACCGGAUUUCUUUUGAUUUUGGCACUUCCCGGUCUGCUCGGUCAAGAAUUCCUUGGAUAUUCACUUCCUGGUCUCCUCGCUCAAGCUAGGAAACAGCAGCUAGCAUCACCUGUACGACACUACAGACCAACUCCUUUCAUUGGACAAGACUGAGACCCGCCGCGUGCGUACUUCUAUCUUCAACUGAUCGACCCAUAGAAGCCAACAAGAUGUAUAUACGAAAGCAAUGCAAAAACUCAAGGAUAUGAGACGGCCCCUGCAUCUAACUCUGGAAGAAGGGAACCAAGGGGGACUUUCAUGUGCUCAUCUCACAAGCAUAGUAGGAUCGGAUCAUACACUCUUCACAAUCGAAUACAUCAAAAAUGGAAAAAGAUAUGUCAUGGAUAUCCUUUUCGAUGACAAAAAGAUCUAGAAAGACACAAAAUAGUUACCAAUGCACUU